rnacentral:rRNA from 1 species
CGCGUAGGCGGUUUACACAGUCAGUGGUGAAAGCCCAUCGCUCAACGGUGGAACGGCCAUUGAUACUGCUAGACUUGAAUUAUUAGGAAGUAACUAGAAUAUGUAGUGUAGCGGUGAAAUGCUUAGAGAUUACAUGGAAUACCAAUUGCGAAGGCAGGUUACUACUAAUGGAUUGACGCUGAUGGACGAAAGCGUGGGUAGCGAACAGGAUUAGAUACCCUGGUA